AUACUUACUUGGCAGAGAAGAUACCGAGAUGGUUUUUCCACGGUGAGGUCAUCCAUUGCACUCUGGAUGUGCUAAGCCCUCUCCAAAUGUGGAACCUCAACUGCAAAGUUUGUGGUACUGGGGGACUACUUUCUCAUUUCGUCUCUUA
rnacentral:snRNA from 1 species